GGCUGGUCCAAGUACAGUGGUGUUUACAGCUAAUUGAUCCCAACCAUUUUAUGGAUUUCUUUGUUUCCGCUCCACUCCUCUACUGCUUCACUUGAUUAGCCAAAA
ensembl:misc_RNA Y_RNA Y RNA